GGUACUGUGGCUUGCUUGGUUAAAGUGCCUGCCUAGUAAGUAGGGGAUCCUACGUUCAACUCCCAGUGGUGCCU
rnacentral:tRNA from 1 species